rnacentral:lncRNA from 1 species
UUCAAUGCUUCUCUAAGAAUAUUGUAGCAAUUCGAUCUUUAAGUCAUUUGGGCUCACCUGACAGAUAUUGGCCACACUCUUUAGUUAAGUCAGACCCACCAUUCAAUGCAAGAGUAAAACUAUCAUUGGAUCCCUCACCUAAUAAAUAUUGAGCCUAACCCCAUCAUCACCCUACAACAAUCCUUUGCUAAUAGAGUGGUUGCAUAUUUCUGAUGUAAUUGAACUACUAUGAUCAAUCCAGAACAAUCAACACCAGUAGCACGCCCG